GACGAACCGUGCGAACGUUGUUCGGAAUCACUGGGCUUAAAGGGCGCGUAGGCGGGCCAUAAAGUCAGGGGUGAAAUCCUCCAGCUUAACUGGAGAACUGCCUUUGAUACUGAUGGUCUCGAGUAAGGUAGGGGCAUGCGGAACUGAUGGUGGAGCGGUGAAAUGUGUUGAUAUCAUCAGGAACUCCGGUGGCGAAGGCGGCAUGCUGGACCUUCACUGACGCUGAGGCGCGAAAGCUAGGGGGAGCGAACGGG
rnacentral:rRNA from 1 species